AGAGAGAGACAUGCGCGCAUAUCAAUAAGCGGAGGAAAAGAAACUAACAAGGAUUCCCUUAGUAACGGCGAGUGAAGCGGGAAGAGCUUCAAAUUUGAAAUCUUCAAGGUUCUACCUUGACGAAUUGUAGUUUAAAGAAGUGUUUUCUGUUGAAGUUUUGGUAAAAGUUCUUUGGAAUAGGACAUCAUAGAGGGUGAGAAUCCCGUAUUUGACCAUUAUUUUCAGCUUUGUGAUACACUUUCAAAGAGUCGGAUUGUUUGGGAAUGCAGUCCAAAAUGGGUGGUAAAUUUCAUCUAAAGCUAAAUAUUGGCGAGAGACCGAUAGCGAACAAGUACCGUGAGGGAAAGAUGAAAAGAACUUUGAAAAGAGAGUUAAACAGUACGUGAAAUUGUCAAAAGGGAAGCGUUUGACACCAGUGUUGUUUUCUCGAAAAUCAAUUAAAAAUGGCUCGAUUUUGUAUUGCUGAGACCUUAAAAGCUCACUGUACAUUUUUCGUGUCUUUUUUAAUGCACUUUUCGUUUAACAAGUCAACAUCAGUUUCUUUUGUUGUAAAAGGGUCAUUGGAAGGUGGCUUUCUUUUCGGAGAAAGUGUUUAUAGCCUUUGGCCUCUGCAAUCGGAGAGACUGAGGUCUGCAGCGUAGACUCUUCGGGGUUAGAUACAUUUGUGCUAAGUUAUAGCUUUUUAUAGACAACUUGUUGACUAUAAUUAGUCUUGUAGCUUACUCGCUUAUGCUAUUUUACCUACGCUUAGGAUGUUGAAGAUGUAGCACAUCAU
rnacentral:rRNA from 1 species